rnacentral:rRNA from 1 species
GCUCGAGUGGCGAACGGGUGAGUAACACGUGGGUGAUCUGCCCUGCACUUUGGGAUAAGCCUGGGAAACUGGGUCUAAUACCGAAUAGGAUCAUGGCCUUCAUGGGUUGUGGUGGAAAGCUUUUGCGGUGUGGGAUGGGCCCGCGGCCUAUCAGCUUGUUGGUGGGGUAAUGGCCUACCAAGGCGACGACGGGUAGCCGGCCUGAGAGGGUGACCGGCCACACUGGGACUGAGAUACGGCCCAGACUCCUACGGGAGGCAGCAGUGGGGAAUAUUGCACAAUGGGCGCAAGCCUGAUGCAGCGACGCCGCGUGAGGGAUGACGGCCUUCGGGUUGUAAACCUCUUUCAAUAGGGACGAAGCGUGAGUGACGGUACCUAUAGAAGAAGCACCGGCCAACUACGUGCCAGCAGCCGCGGUAAUACGUAGGGUGCGAGCGUUGUCCGGAAUUACUGGGCGUAAAGAGCUCGUAGGUGGUUUGUCGCGUUGUUCGUGAAAACUCACAGCUUAACUGUGGGCGUGCGGGCGAUACGGGCAGACUGGAGUACUGCAGGGGAGACUGGAAUUCCUGGUGUAGCGGUGGAAUGCGCAGAUAUCAGGAGGAACACCGGUGGCGAAGGCGGGUCUCUGGGCAGUAACUGACGCUGAGGAGCGAAAGCGUGGGGAGCGAACAGGAUUAGAUACCCUGGUAGUCCACGCCGUAAACGGUGGGUACUAGGUGUGGGUUCCUUCCUUGGGAUCCGUGCCGUAGCUAACGCAUUAAGUACCCCGCCUGGGGAGUACGGCCGCAAGGCUAAAACUCAAAGGAAUUGACGGGGGCCCGCACAAGCGGCGGAGCAUGUGGAUUAAUUCGAUGCAACGCGAAGAACCUUACCUGGGUUUGACAUGCACAGGACGCCGGCAGAGC